GCGCCUAUCGUCUAGCGGUUAGGACAGGUCCCUCUCACGGAUCAGACCGGGGUUCGAUUCCCCGUAGGCGCGCCA
rnacentral:tRNA from 5 species